GACGAACGCUGGCGGCGUGCCUAAUACAUGCAAGUCGAACGCAGUGGGGACGGGUGAGUAACACGUGGGUAACCUCCCAUCAGAGGGGAUAACACUUGUAAACAGGUUCUAAAACGAUAAUGAUGGAUGGACCCGCGGUGCAUUAGCUAGUUGGUGAGGUAACGGCUAACCAAGGCCACGAUGCAUCGCCGACCUUGGAGGGUGAUCGGCCACACUGGGACUGAGACACGGCCCAGACUCCUACGGGAGGCAGCAGUAGGGAAUCGUCGGCAAUGGACGAAAGUCUGACCGAGCAACGCCGCGUGAGUGAAGAAGGUUUUCGGAUCGUAAAACUCUGUUGUUAGAGAAGCGGUAUCUAACCAGAAAGCCACGGCUAACUACGUGCCAGCAGCCGCGGUAAUUC
rnacentral:rRNA from 1 species